GCCCUACGGGGGGCAGCAGUGGGGAAUAUUGCACAAUGGGGGGAACCCUGAUGCAGCAAUGCCGCGUGGGUGAAGAAGCACUCCGGUGCGUAAAGCCCUGUCAGCAGGGAAGAAAAUGACAGUACCUGACCAAGAAGCCCCGGCUAACUACGUGCCAGCAGCCGCGGUAAUACGUAGGGGGCAAGCGUUAUCCGGAUUUACUGGGUGUAAAGGGAGCGUAGGCGGCUGUGUAAGCCAGAAGUGAAAGCCCGAGGCUCAACCACGGGACUGCUUUUGGAACUACAUGGCUUGAUUGCAGGAGAGGG
rnacentral:rRNA from 1 species